rnacentral:rRNA from 1 species
AAGUCGAGGGGCAGCAUGAACUUAGCUUGCUAAGUUUGAUGGCGACCGGCGCACGGGUGAGUAACACGUAUCCAACCUUCCCGUUACUCUGGGAUAGCCUUUCGAAAGAAAGAUUAAUACCCGAUGGCAUAGUUCUUCCGCAUGGUAGAACUAUUAAAGAAUUUCGGUCAUCGAUGGGGAUGCGCUCCAUUAGCCAGUUGGCGGGGUAACGGCCCACCAAGGCAACGAUCAGUAGGGGUUCUGAGAGGAAGGUCCCCACAUUGGAACUGAGACACGGUCCAAACUCC